rnacentral:misc_RNA from 1 species
GAUGAAGAACGUAGCGAAAUGCGAUAAGUAAUGUGAAUUGCAGAAUUCAGUGAAUCAUCGAAUCUUUGAACGCACAUUGCGCCCCUUGGUAUUCCAUGGGGCAUGCCUGUUCGAGCGUCAUUUGUACCUUCAAGCUCUGCUUGGUGUUGGGUGUUUGUCUCGCCUUGCGCGUAGACUCGCCUUAAAACAAUUGGCAGCCGGCGUAUUGAUUUCGGAGCGCAGUACAUCUCGCGCUUUGCACUCAUAACGACGACGUCCAAAAGUACUUUUUACACUCUUGACCUCGGAUCAGGUAGGGAUACCCGCUGAACUUAAGCAUAUCAAUAAGCGGAGGA